rnacentral:rRNA from 1 species
CAGCAGCCACGGGAAUACGGAGGGGGCUAGCGUUGUUCGGAAUUACUGGGCGUAAAGCGCACGUAGGCGGCUUGGUAAGUUAGAGGUGAAAGCCCGGAGCUCAACUCCGGAAUUGCCUUUAAGACUGCCGAGCUAGCAGGUGAGAGAGGUAAGUGGAAUUCCGAGUGUAGAGGUGAAAUUCGUAGAUAUUCGGAAGAACACCAGUGGCGAAGGCGGCUUACUGGCUCAUACUGGACGCUGAGGUGCGAAAGCGUGGGGAGCAAACAGGAUUAGAUACCCGCGUAGUCCCUGUCUCUUAUCC